GGAUUCUCAACUCAAUUAUUGUUAUUUCUUAUUUCUCAUCUCCUAACAGUCCACCUCCGAAUUCUUGUAUAUAUUAUCUUUUGUAAUCGCCCAACCACUACAGGAUCGCAGAGAACGUGCGAAGAAACUAUCAGAAAAUUGAGUUGUAUAUGAUCGAUCGUGACUUAUUCAUGGAAGAUUCAAACUCUGCUACGCAAGAGCCAUGUCAAUUUCAAAUUGAUGCUUAAUUUGUUCAAUUCACGCAAGGUGGGUGGCUAGUUCGUCGCUGACAAGAAUGCAGAUGGGAAGAGAAGAAGACUGACCGUAUUUGAGCGGGUUGAUGGCGAAAUCGAAGAUUUGGGAGUAGUAGUCGGCGUAUCGGAUGGAUAUGGCCGGAUUCUUUCGCCGGAGGUCGUCGAGGGUUCGCCGGAGCUGUGUGUUGUGCAGCCAGGAGAGGGCGUUGUAUCUGCGGGAGCAGCCGGUCCUGGGGCCGUAGUCUUGCGGGUCGGGCGUGUGGUAGUUGGACAGGUACAAGGGGAAGCACCCCACCGGCAGCAGCCCCGGCACGAUGAUGUCCGCCGCCCCGAGCCCGAUCAACCUCUGCUUGCGACCCCAUUUUUUCAGUUAAUUCUGAGCUUCUAUGGUCUAGAUGAUUAAUUCAAAUAUAAUUACCUCGACGCCGUCGGAAAUGGCGCGGACGACGUGAGGCACGAAGGUGGUGACUUCGUCAACGGACCUCCCGAAGAAGAGAGCAGUGCUGUAGUCGUUUCCCCCGAACUCGCCCACCACGAACAGAGACUUGCCCAGGAAAUCCUUGCAGUCUGCCGCCGGCCGCCGGCGUCGUCAUGAACGUCCGUAACCAUUAAUUAACUUCAGGGAGCUAGCUCAGAGUGAACAUCAAGCUGCAGAAUGAAGCUAACGGAGCACGCACCUUGUGUGGAGCCGCAGAUGGAGGGGAGGAGCUUCUCGAAGCGGUCGACCUGGAUGUAAAUGGAGGCGUUGACCCACAGGCCCUUGCUCAGCCCUCGCUCGUUGAAGAAGUCGAAGCCGAGCACGGUGGCCGCCACCCAGGCGAAGUUCGCGCCCUUGCUGAAAUUCGACUCCCUCUCGUUCGACGGCGGCAGCAAUGGAAAUCCCAGGUCCUGAGCUGCCAAAUUCCCAACACAUAUGCUAAUUAAUUAAUUAAUUAAUCAAGAGUAGCUAUCGAAUUUUUCGAUCGUGCUGCGUGCGUACCGAUGAAGUCGAUGACUAAGCGUCCGUCGGAGCAGCGUCCGGUGGCGCGGCCGAAGAAGGUCAUUCCGUAGGGGAGGCGGCCGAUGCGGACGUUGCCGGUGUCGGACAUCGAGUCUCCGAAGUUGAACAAGGCGUUGUACUGAUGAGACGAGGAAGGAAGGAGGAAGGCGGAGAGGAGGAGGAGGAUGAA